UGGGGAAUCUUGCACAAUGGGCGAAAGCCUGAUGCAGCGACGCCGCGUGGGGGAUGAAGCAUCUCGGUGUGUAAACCCCUUUCGAUUCGGACGAAUGCCCGCAAGGGAGUGACGGUACGGAUAUAAGAAGCCCCGGCUAACUACGUGCCAGCAGCCGCGGUAAGACGUAGGGGGCCAGCGUUGUUCGGAAUUACUGGGUGUAAAGGGUUCGUAGGCGGUGCGGCAAGUUGGGAGUGAAAUCUCUGGGCUUAACCCAGAGGCUGCUUCCAAAACUGCUGUGCUCGAGUGUGGGGGAGGCGCGUGGAAUUGCAGGUGUAGCGGUGAAAUGCGUAGAUAUCUGCAGGAACACCCGUGGCGAAAGCGGCGCGCUGGACCACUACUGAAGCUGAGGAACGAAAGCUAGAGGAGCAAACAGG
rnacentral:rRNA from 1 species